AGCGUCAGUACAUACGUAGUAGACUGCCUUCGCAAUCGGUAUUCUGUGUAAUAUCUAUGCAUUUCACCGCUACACUACACAUUCUAUCUACUUCCAUAUGACUCAAGUCAACCAGUAUCAAAGGCAGUUCCAUAGUUAAGCUAUGGGAUUUCACCUCUGACUUAAUUGACCGCCUGCGAACCCUUUAAACCCAAUGAUUCCGGAUAACGCUUGCACCCUCCGUAUUACCGCGGCUGCUGGCACGGAGUUAGCCGGUGCUUAUUCUUACAGUACCGUCAAGGCUCUACACGUAGAGCUGUUUCUUCCUGUAUAAAAGCAGUUUACAACCCAUAGGGCCUUCUUCCUGCACGCGGCAUGGCUGGGUCAGAGUUGCCUCCAUUGCCCAAUAUUCCUCACUGCUGCCUCCCGUAGGAGUCUGGUCCGUGUCUCAGUACCAGUGUGGGGGAUCUCCCUCUCAGGACCCCUACCUAUCGUUGCCAUGGUAAGCCGUUACCUUACCAUCUAGCUAAUAGGACGCAUAGCCAUCUUUUACCGAUAAAUCUUUAAUUAAAAACUCAUGCGAGUCUUUAAUACUAUAAGGCAUUAAUCUUCAUUUCUAAAGGCUAUUCCUCGGUAAAAGGUGGGUUCUAUACGGGUUAGGCACCCGGGCGCCGGUGGUCAGGGGAGCAAGCUCCCGGUUACCCCUGGACUGGCAGGUGUUAAGCCGGCCGCUAGCGUUCAUCCGGAGCCAGGAUCAAACUCU
rnacentral:rRNA from 1 species